UAAAUCUAAACUGCAUGUUUGAGGUAAGAAAAGUCUGAACCAAAGCGUUUACUCUACUUUUGUCCAGCAGGUGCUGCUGAAGAAGCAUUUGGAAACAACUCUCUAAAACAGUAGAGCAGAUGAAUGAGGCAGAGUGGAAGGAUGCAAGCUCAGUUCUCUUCCCACCGACUGGCCCUACUGCUGGCCAGAAGACAGUCAGACAAGAUCCAUCCCUGGCUACAUUACCUGAACAGCAAAGCACGGUUGAAGACACCAAAUGUUUAUUGGCAGAGCUAGUGCGUAUUGAACAGGAACUGAGGGAGAGUUUGCAAAAGGAGGAGGAGAGGCAGAAGGAGUUGGAGCGUAUAAGGCAGGAGGAGAACCAGCAGCGCUGGAGAAGUCUGUGCUUCCUGUACCUCAACCAGCGCACUACGAAGCCGUGGGUGACAAGCUACUAUAAGAACAUACCCAUGCACAUCUACUGCUUGCCCAUAGAAACUGUGGCCCAAAGACAGAAGCAUAAAAAGAAAAGGUGAUUAAGAAGAAGACAUUUAAUGUGCUGUUUGGGACUUGGGGCUGUGAUGGUACAGCUCUCAACAAAACUGAGCUUCUGACAGAGGAAUGCUUACCAUUAGGAUGUUUCCCUGCACUAAAUGAACUCUAAGGGGAAGAUACCGUAACAAAAGUCAUAAACGUCAGAUUUAUUCCUUAACAUUUCAUACAAGAUUUUGUGAGAAAAAGUCUGUGUGUGGGCUGCAACUUCAUCUACACACAUAUGGCCAUAUACAACACCUGUUAUCAAUUUACUUAAAAAUAAAAACACUGUAAAAAUCUUGAAAUAAUCUUUG
rnacentral:lncRNA from 1 species